GACGAACGCUGGCGGCGUGCUUAACACAUGCAAGUCGAACGGAAAGGCCUCUUUCGGGGGGUACUCGAGUGGCGAACGGGUGAGUAACACGUGAGUAACCUGCCCUUGACUUUGGGAUAACUUCAGGAAACUGGGGCUAAUACCGGAUAGGAGCUCCUGCUGCAUGGUGGGGGUUGGAAAGUUUCGGCGGUUGGGGAUGGACUCGCGGCUUAUCAGCUUGUUGGUGGGGUAGUGGCUUACCAAGGCUUUGACGGGUAGCCGGCCUGAGAGGGUGACCGGCCACAUUGGGACUGAGAUACGGCCCAGACUCCUACGGGAGGCAGCAGUGGAGAAUAUUGCACAAUGGGUGGAAGCCUGAUGCAGCAACGCCGUGUGCGGGAUGACGGCCUUCGGGUUGUAAACCGCUUUCGCUCAUGACGAAGCUUUGUGUGACGGUAGUGGGUAAAGAAGCACCGGCUAACUACGUG
rnacentral:rRNA from 1 species